GCCUUUUUUUUUUUUCUUCAUCUUCAUAUGUAAAGGAAAUAAGAAGUGCAGCAGUCAGCCCCAUCGGACAAGAGAGAUAUUUCACAGGAAAUAACAGGCAGCUUCAGACUCAUUUUUCUCUUGCAGAAGACUGUGCCCAGGUACUUUGAAAAAUAGAUGCUUCAGGCUAAUUCGUGUUUCCUUUGGGUACACUGAGGUAUAGUUCAUGCAUAAAAGCAUAAAGGAGAGGCUGAAGAAGCCUAGGCCUUGUUUGUUUGCAUAAUUGUAUAUGUUCCUGUUUUGGAGGACAGUGGAUGACAGAAAGUUCAAGUUUUCUGAAAGAACAGGUAUGGGAUUUCUUUUUGGUGAUGAGCAGCUGCCAGCAUAAUCCAGAGCAAAGGGGUCCUUUUCCAUAUAUUCAUUUGGAAGGAUGUAAAGCAGCAGAGUACCUGAAGGACUGCAAUGCCAUGGCGAUAUCUUUCACUACCACAGAAGGUGUCUCCUCAGCACUGUUUUCAUUUUCCUCACCCCUGUGUACCACUUCUUGCAACCACAGACUCUCCUUUAGCUGCAGACCAGGCUCAAGUACAUCUCAUGCUGUGUCCCAUCAGGAGAACUUCCACAGAGAGAGAACAUGGCAGAAAAACCAUUGCUGGUGGCAUACCCGAGAAGAGUUGCCAAUUGGCAAAAUAGAUGGGAAGGGAGUGUUAUCACAGCUUGUCUGCUCUGUAUGGCUGAGAGCUUCCUAGGAUGUUUGCAGUGUCUGUAGGCUGAGGAAGAGGAGCUCUGUGUCUCCAAGGAAUGUGAGCCUACUGUCUCAGGAGCUGAGUAGUGAGGCCCAAACAUGACUCCAGAGAAAACCAUCUUGCUAAAAAGGACUUCCUAUUUUGGGUAGCAUGCAUCGGAUCAAGACGCACGUGCACAGUGAGCAAGAGGAGCUCAGCAUGUGAAUCAUCAUCAGUGACCAUGGCUUGGGGCCAGCUCCAAGUGGUUGAAGUCUGUCCUUGCUGAGGUAUCACACAUUUUGGGAUGGUCAGGAGCAGAUGUAUGUUUCUGGGAACACUGGGAUGGUCAUUUCCACACCCAUGACCUUAAUGCCUGCCUGAUGACCUGCCAUUACACUCUCACAGUGACGGAUGUGGUGACACACUCCAGGAAGACCUCAUCAUGGUGAUCUGCUGCUGCCAGCCCUCCAGCCCUGCCACUCACACUGGGCUGCUCUUGCCACCUCAGAAGUCAUCACACAGCCUAAAUACUCCCGCCACGUGACAAGGACAGUCAGAGCAUCCCAGCUAUUGCAGCUUGGCUAACCUAGAGCAGACCCAGUGGCUGAUAGCCUGAGCUGGAAAGGGCCAGCAAGGGAGGACAGCAUGUGAAUUAUGCCACCCUCUCUUCCCAUUGCCUCUCUUCCUAGGGGCUAAGCAGAUUGAUCCUGUUUUGACAACCUUUUUGUUACACAUGACAGGUUGCAGAACUGCAGCAGCCAGGAGAAAAACAGCUCUCUAUCAUUUUCUGCUGAUGGCUAAUAUCAGAUGACUUUCAGACAUUCACUCUCCUACUCUGGGUUUUACUGGAUAUUUACUCAUACCAUAUUCCUUUCUCCUUGGGUUUGUACCAUGGAGGUGACUGGAGCAGUUUGCAGGUGCAGGUACCAGAGAACACUACAACCCAGUCCUGCACAAACUGCUGCUCCAGCUCUACUACCCUUGCCAGAUUGGCUGAUGUGGUUGUAGGACUAGCCCACAAUCACCUGUCCGCCUAUUCUUAAACACUGUUUUCCUUUUGACUGAUUGAACAACGACCAUGUAUAAUUUCUGGAUUUUUUUGGAUGGUAAUAUUGAUUUUUCAAAAAAUUAUUUAUUUCAGAGAUUUUAUUGAAUGCUUUGGGAACCCACCAGUUCAGUUAUGGCUGUUUGGUUUAGUCCUUUCACUCACUUCUGUAUCUUACCUCAUGACUUUAAGGAGUAAUAUCUCAACAGACCACUUCCCUAUGUACUUUACUUUAUUCCACCAAAAAAGAUUUUUUACCUUAAGUGACCUACUCCCACUUUCUUUUUCAUUCUCCUAUCUUUUUUUCUGCAUUUUUGCUGGGAGAAGAUACACAUUAAAGCGAUAGAAUUCAAUAGAGCUUUGGAAGAGUCUGUCUUGAAUUAUGUCUGUUCAGUACUUACAUUAACAAAUCAGAUGAGAAAAACCAUACAUUCAAUUUGGAGAUCAAACUGACGGGAAAUACUUUGAAGGAAAGAGUUAACAUUCAAAAUUACCUUAACAAAUUGAAGAAAUGGUCUGAAAAGAAAAAUCCUUAUGGUAUUCAGCAGGUACAAAAGGUACUGUACUCUGUCUAGAAUACUCAACUAUAUGAUUAUUCAGUGGCAUAAAAUCAGCUGAUAGCAGUUUUGGAGAGGACUGUACUGAGAUAAACAUGUUAAUGAAGAGGAGGGAAAAUCUCUGGAAGGUCUGGGAAAAUCGUGCAAUAGCUGCUGCUGGAGAGCUUUAAGAAGGGGCCAGGCAUGCAUCUACGAGAAAUGAUCCUGACAAGGAGGGUCCUGCUAUGGGCAGAUGAAUAACCUUCUGGAUUUCUUGAGGCCCCCUCCUGGUCUUGGUCUGUUUCCUGCCCAGACAUGAACCUGCAUCUUCUGCUAUUACCUCUAUCCUGUAUGUCUCCCACAAUCUGACCUCAGCCCACACUUGCUUACCCUUUUGCAGGAACAUGUUUGCCAGCUUCUAGCAGAUCACUGGAAUCCACCUUCAAUUUUCUGUCUCGUCUUUCUCUUGUCACUUUCCUCCUUGUCUUUUCCCCUUUCUUUCCCCUUGCACUUUACUUCUUCCCACUCACUGCAAACCUCCAUCCUAUCCCAGGCCUGACACUCAGCCUUGCCUCUCUCUACAAACAGAUCCCACAGGGGCUGGCAAAUGCCACCUUUCAUGGUAUGGCUUGUAUGAAGGAGAUGGAUCAGAAAUCACUACUCCCAGGUCUCUGAAUCAUUCCUCCAGACUGUUUGUCUAUUCACCCCUGCUUUGAUUACAUUUGGUUAAGAUUUGGUAGCUCUCUUUCCCAGCUCCUGAGGAUAUGUCUUUGCUUGUUUUUGGAGAGGGCUUUGCUUCUAACCAGGCCAGAUGGACUGUAUGUUUUAACCCAAUCUCUGCUCUAUUUAUCUCAUCUUUUAGGAUUUUCUCUGUGCCUUUUUUUUUUUUUUUAAACACAUCUCACACGUGCUUCCAACCCAGACCAAACCCAAAAGGCUUCAAUUCUGAGAAGUGUUUUUGAGCACACAAUGCUGAAGGACUGGAUUUAAAAUUAAGCCAAAUGAGCAAACAUGCCCAUAAAAGGAGAGCACAGUGGGCCAAGACUGUGUGUAGACUUGCAAAUCUGCCCUGGGAUUUUGAUUUCAGUAACAAACCCAUCUGAGAUUUGCUCUCACAGUUUACACUCUCCUCCGAAAACAAGCCUAUGGAGAGUGUGAUGCAGCAGUUACCAUAGCAGCCAGCACCAGAAGAAUCCAUUAAGUGAUCACAGUCCCAGCUCAAAGUGAAUUACCAGACAGCAGGUGAACUUUUGCACCUUAAAAAAUGUCUCUUGGGGAAAAUAUGUUGUCGUGCACAGUGGAACAAGAGAAUGCCGUUCAGUUGCACUGACUCGCUGCUACAUUGUUAUCCUUAAUUAUGUCUGUGCUGAUUUUUAAAAAGUACUGCACAGGCUUUUCCUUUUUCCUGUCAGGUGUUUCUUGUAAUUUAUUUUUUUUCCUGAAGGACAAGACAGACUAGCUCAGUCAAUAACUACUAAUGAAAUGUGCUUCAGGCCUCCCUUCUUUCUGCCACAAUUAGAUUGUCAGCUGUCCCAGGAGAGAGGCUAUUAUCUGGUGGGUGUGGAAAAUGAUCUAUCACUGUUAAUAAUUUCUAUUAUCAUAGCAGGUAGCACUCCAAACAUAUCAACACCUCAUUAUAACACAGUUUUUCACACAUGGGAAGCUGAUGGUCCUCUUGGAUGCUCAGACAUAAGAAGUAUAUAAAUGGAGCUGGGAGGUGGAAAGAGGACAGAUCCUGGUGGGUUCAUAAGAGCACAGGAAAACACACUAUUCCUUCAUAAACAGAGCUCCUUAGAUAGCCAGAAGCUUGUACCGCCAGUAUGUGAUUGGGAGGAGCCAGUCCAGCACACAGGCUCCAGAUCCAGACCUUGCAUAAUAUCUCUUUUUUUUGUCUCUGUACCAUACAACUCUGCCUUAUUAUAACAGCAAGUGAGGACAAGUGUGCAAAUACCUUUCUCAAAAGCAAAGUGCAGCUGUGGAUAUCGACAUCUUGACCCACAAAGGACAACUUUGGUCUUGCAGUGGCAGAAGACUCAAGCUAAAUUAGCAGAGUGGUUAUUUAACCCACCCUUGAUGCUCUUCCAGAAAGUUACCUGAAGCCUUUAAAACUCUCUACAUUAUGACCACCACAAUAGCCACAUGAAGAGCUACUAAAAACUUCCUGUGAAAGAAGGUAAUGAGAAAACUGUAGUGUCUGGGAAAACCAAAACAAACAAAUGAACCAACAGACCCCAGCCUUCCCGGGAACUUGAGUUGAACUUGAACUCCAUGAGUCUUUGUCACCAGUUACAGUUCCAGAAUACAGGGCAGGAAUGGGAGGAGAUGAGACUGAAGCUAGAGGUAUUUGAAGGCAUAUCGCUUUAAAUCUCUGCACGUUGAAAAAGAGAAGAAAUACCACCCUGGGUUCAUCUCUAGACUACAGUGGGUUCAACUAUACUCCAAGAAUUCCCUUCCACCCUGAAGAACAGUUUGAGAUUUUUUAACCUUGCAGACACUCGGUGGUGGGAAGAUUGCUACGUACCAUCUUGUACCAUACAUCCGCUACUGGGAUGCUAUUCCCAGUCAGGAACAUUGCAAGCUCUUUGUUAGUCAUAUUAAAGCUGCUUUGGAGACCAACACUCUGUAUGACACAUUUGCUAAAGAGAGUUGUGUUCAUGCAGUCUGAGCACAGGACCAGAUGCCAUGCAGGGGACCAUUUUGGGUUCUGGCACUCAUUUCCUAUAUACACUUUGAUCAAGUUAUUUGCAGUUUCCCCCAGUUUCAUCAGAUGUAGAAUUGCAUUUGUGGUGUGUGCUGACAACUCUUUGUCCUCUGUGGAGGGGAUGAGAUGUUUUGUUCAAUCUCUUACAUAAAAAACACCAUGAACAGGAGGAUAUAGGGCUGAAAUAUGUUUCUUAAAGAAUAUAAUCAAGCUGAUCUAGAUCUGAAUCUGAGAAGAAACUUCUUUUGGCAGUAAAUAUUCUAUUUAAUCUAUAAAUAGCUCUUUAGAUUGCCAGAUAAUCUUUGUAACUUAUAACCCUGUUGGCCUGAACAAGAAACAAAAUGUAGUCUUCAGAAUGGAAGAGAAUAAAAUAAAAUGUCAAUGUAACUGACAUGACCUUAGACCCAGAUGGUGAUUUCUGCUUUAUGAUCCACCAAACUAGCUUACCAUGUGGUCAAAAUUUCAUUAAACAUUUCUGCAGUC